CUGGAGGUAUCAGAAGUGCGAAUGCUGACAUAAGUAACGAUAAAGCGGGUGAAAAGCCCGCUCGCCGGAAGACCAAGGGUUCCUGUCCAACGUUAAUCGGGGCAGGGUGAGUCGACCCCUAAGGCGAGGCCGAAAGGCGUAGUCGAUGGGAAACGGGUUAAUAUUCCCGUACUUGGUGUUACUGCGAAGGGGGGACGGAGAAGGCUAUGUUGGCCGGGCGACGGUUGUCCCGGUUUAAGCGUGUAGGUGUGUGUUCCAGGUAAAUCCGGUUCACUUUAACACUGAGGCGUGACGACGAGGCACUACGGUGCUGAAGCAACAAAUGCCCUGCUUCCAGGAAAAGCCUCUAAGCAUCAGGUAACAUCAAAUCGUACCCCAAACCGACACAGGUGGUCAGGUAGAGAAUACCAAGGCGCUUGAGAGAACUCGGGUGAAGGAACUAGGCAAAAUGGUGCCGUAACUUCGGGAGAAGGCACGCUGACACGUAGGUGAAGUGAUUUACUCAUGGAGCUGAAGUCAGU
rnacentral:rRNA from 2 species